rnacentral:rRNA from 1 species
UACGGGGGGGGGCAAGCGUUGUUCGGAAUUACUGGGCGUAAAGGGCUCGUAGGCGGCCAACUAAGUCAGACGUGAAAUCCCUCAGCUUAACUGGGGAACUGCGUCUGAUACUGGAUGGCUUGGAUCCGGGAGAGGGAUGCGGAAUUCCAGGUGUAGCGGUGAAAUGCGUAGAUAUCUGGAGGAACACCGGUGGCGAAGGCGGCAUCCUGGACCGGUAUUGACGCUGAGGAGCGAAAGCCAGGGGAGCAAACGGG